rnacentral:rRNA from 1 species
GACGAACGCUGGCUGCGUGCUUCACACAUGCAAGUCGAACGAAGUGGCGCACGGGUGAGUAACGCGUAAUCAACCUGCCCUUCAGAGGGGGACAACAGUAGGAAACGACUGCUAAUACCGCAUACUGAAGGAGGUGAUUGCGUCUGAUUAGCUGGUUGGAGGGGUCACGGCCCACCAAGGCGAUGAUCAGUAUCCGGUCUGAGAGUAUGACCGGCCACAGUGGGACUGAGACACGGCCCACACUCCUACGGGAGGCAGCAGUGGGGAAUCUUCCGCGAUGGACGAAAGUCUGAAGGAGAAACGCCGCGUGAGUGAUGACGGCCUUCGGGUUGUAAAGCUCUGUUAAUCGGGACGCGGUACCGGAAUAGAAAGCCACGGCUAACUACGUGCCAGCAGCCGCGGUAAGUC